rnacentral:lncRNA from 1 species
UCGCUGACAGGUGGAUGUGGAGUUGGGAGCCAGCCACCAGGCCUCCUCCUCUCGCUCAUCCCACCGGCCGUCCACCCUGUUCGUUCCCAAAUUCCCAAACCUAGUUGGAGUAGAAGCCAGCCAGUCCAGCUGCAAGGCGGCGCAGCAGCCGACCUCCAUCCUCCUCUUCGAUCCGCCGCAGGCCGACGCUUCUAGCGUGGUGGGAGUGGAGAUCCGUCCAUCCGGUCCGCCGCCUUCCCCCUUGUUGGCUGGUGAGUAAUUCAUCGAUCCCAACUUGUUUUCUUCACUCGAAGGAUUCCAUUGUUUGUUCCAGGAAUCGCUUGGUCUUGAGAGUUCUCAUUCAGAUCCAAAUCGCUCCCUCCCCAUUUCAGUUUGCUGUGGAUUCAAAAAUCAUCCAUUUAGGGUUUCGUUCGAUUAAGUGGUUCGUCUUGUGCUCCUGCUGCGCUCGAGAAUGACAAUCAGCAGAUGCCGGCGGAACUUAUUUCCCUGAAAAAAGAGAGAUGAUUUUUGGUGUUCCUUUAAUUGAGCCCCCAUGCGCGCGGCUAUUGUUGGCUAAAACUGCGUUAUUUUAGCGCACGAGUAGAUUUUUUUUGGACUACAUGACUACAUGUCGGCACUAAAUUUAGAUGACGCCAUAAAAAAAUUGAUACUUUCCCCUCGAUGUCUGUUCAACGUAGCUGUUCGAGUUCCCUUUCCCCCUCGGACAGGAGAUCUGUGUUUUCUAGAUGUCGCAACAGCAUUAUGUUCUAUGGCUCAUUCAUUUGGUUUCGAGAGAAGUAGUAUACAACCUUGAAGCUAGCGGCAUCUGUUCAAUGACCUGACGUUUCUUGGUCCGUUUUUUUUUUCAAAUAGGUACACAGAUUGAACUAUGGACAACCUGUGGCAUCUUGGAGAUGAGCUCCGUGGCCAGCCAAAGGUAGUGGAGGACCGCCAGUGGUCUCUCAUGACCUCCAAGCUCGCUGAGAUCACCAAGUCCAAGGGCGAGAGGAUGAACGACCUUGACUAUGCGCGGAUGAACACCGUCCCUGAGGUCAAGCAGUGGGAUAAGAUGCAGUAUCACCAUGAUGAACCCAGGAUGGAUCACAUCAAUCUUGGCCUCAUGAACCUGGAUCUGAAGAUGAAUGAUCUGAAGAUGAACGAGGCUGCCCUCAAGAACCCUUUCCGCAACAUGGGUUAUAACAUGAACCCAAUGUACCCCAAGGGGAACAAUGCCAAUGUCAAUGCAUUCAAGAUGAAUGUUGGGGUCAACAAGUACUCCAAUAGUCCUAAUGUGAAAGAGGCCAUUGGAAAAAACAAUGGUGCCAACAACAAUGGAAGCAACAGCAAUGGAAACGCUAACAACAAUUCUGCUGUUGACAAGCGCUUCAAGACACUGCCAACGAGUGAGAUGCUACCAAGGAAUGAAGUCCUUGGUGGGUACAUCUUUGUCUGCAACAAUGAUACCAUGCAGGAGGAUCUCAAGAGGCAGCUUUUUGGUAUGCGUUACCACUUCUCCUGAUAAAUAACAUGAAAUAUUGUUCUGAAAAAUAACUUUCAUACCAUUUUUAAACUUUCUUUUGAUAAUAGCAUCUCAAGAUCUGUUGCUCUUCUGCAGGGUUGCCAGCAAGAUAUCGGGAUUCAGUCCGAGCAAUUACUCCUGGACUGCCUCUUUUCCUCUAUAACUACACAACUCACCAGCUUCAUGGAGUAUUUGAGGUUUGUGAUUAGCUGAUUUGCUGCUCCUUGGAUAGCCUCUCUGACCUUGUUAAACAGUUGUUUGUUUGUAAUACAUAAGAUAUUGCUAGCUAAUAAAUUGUGCAUCUUACUUUAAAAAAAAAAAGUAAAUUGCGCAUCUAACUAUCCAAGAAAUGGUCUUGUGCUUUCAUGCACUAUUACCAUUCUAGAUGGAAUAUUUUUAGCUUGCCUUCAUCUUUCUCCUUUUCCUUGUGCCCUUGUAUGUAAUUUCUUCUAACUAAUGAUUUGGUAGCAUUUAAAAAUAAACAUUAAACUAGAAAGUAUGAUCAUGGUUUUCCAGAUACUAUAGUAUAUGCAACCAAGCCUACACCAAUGUUUUAAAUCUCCCACUAUAGCUGCUGCUAUAGCCCGCUAUAGUUAUUUAAGGCAUGGUACCACUAUUUACUCUCAUGUACAAUUUAACCGCUAUAUCCCACUAUAGCCCCAUUUAGUUCCACUAUUAGCUGUUUUAGAGUCCUCCGCUAAACCUCUUAGCCCGCUAUUUAAAACAUUGGCCUAUACACAUUUUAGGUACAUGACAGCACAUCCAAGAAUUGCACUCUUGUAAGGCAGCUUUAGCUAGUAUUUCAUCCGGUGUUAGUUCCUACUUCCUACUGGUUUUGUAUGUGCUAUUUCACCAUCUCUGAUUCGGGUUAUUUUUUCAUGCCUAGUCUUGUAUGGUUUUGCACACUGUUGACGUAUUGUUACCAUUAUUUAGCAUUGCUUUAUAGUUGGAUCUAACUGUGCUUCUGUAUACAUCUAGCUCCAUAGUUUUUGUUAUUGACCCAUUUCUGUUAGCUCACUGAAUCAUCAUUGUUGUCAGUUUCAAUAAAUGAAUGCCUACUUCGAUUCCAUACAUUUUUAUUGUUAUUGAAGUUUUAAUCCCAUCUUAUGCUUCAGAAUAAAUCUAGCGGCUAAUUGUCUUUUGGUUUUGAAAUGAAUUUGCUUAGGCUGCCAGUUUUGGUGGGUCUAAUAUUGAUCCCACUGCAUGGGAGGAUAAGAAGUGUAAAGGUGAAUCCAGAUUCCCAGCACAGGUACUGGCAACAUUUUGCAUAUGUUUGUUUCUCAUUUCCUUCUGAUUUCAUGAUCUGACAUCUUCAUCGUGUUAGGUGAGGAUCCGCAUUAGGAAGCUUUGCAAGCCAUUGGAAGAGGAUUCCUUCAGGCCAGUUUUGCACCACUACGAUGGCCCAAAAUUUCGCCUUGAGCUCUCCAUCGCGGAGGUAUAUACCAUAUCCCAGCUGCUGUGCACAUGAAUUAUACAGUGAAAGCUCCCUUGCACAAUGAAACUUUAUUAGCACAAUAGCCCUUGUGUUCAUAGACUUUAUCAGAAUUCUGCAUUCAUGCUGCCAUGGUGAUCAAAUCGGUUGAUGUUCAGCUUCCGUUUACAUGCUGCCAAGAAAGUUUAUUUUUUGUUUGUGUGUGGAAGUAUGUGACAAAGGACAGUUACUUUUUAUAUCACAUUCUGAGGUCUCAUAGUUUAGUUGCAGUGCUUAUGUGCAGUGCUGAGAUACACAUUAGCCUGCACCAAUUACAAUAUUCCCUUGUUUAAAUCUUAAUUGUUAUUUUCUUGAUGUCUCCUCUGCAAUUCCGUGCAUCCCAUAGGCAUUACUUGUCUGAGGUUGAACAUUAAAUGGUGGACAUUUGCUAAUCAUCCUUCAGAAUUAAGAUAAAACAUGUUAAUCCCCUUCUGCUGGUCAGAUGAUGGCAUUAUACAGGAGCUUGUAGGCAUGGGAACUUGUUUUAGUUUUUUUAUUGGUCUAUUUUAAAUUUGUUAUGCAUGUUGUCUGUUGCGAUAAAAGUUCUUAGAGCAUAAGAAGAUGAGAAGUUUGUUUUUUUCUUAAAAAAGUGUGGUCAUGUCAAUCAUUCUCAUCAAAUAUAAUUUUUGCAGACCUUGUCACUGCUAGACCUGUGCGAGAAGGAAGGCAUCUGAGCUGUUGGGGAGGUGGUUGCCUUGAGCUUCUAGUAAAUAUUAAUCAUCCUUGUAUGUUUUGUGGAUGGUGGUUGGGCAAUGUUGUUUGUUUAAGCGCAAGCUGCUGCUGGUUUCAUUUUCCCUACCUGCAAGGAAGGAAGGAGAAGACCUGGUACUUGGAAGGCCCCUCGAAAAAAGCAAGCUGUGAGGCUGUCUGUGUACUGCGUUGCGUUGUGUCGUCCUGAACCGAAUCAAUCCUGGGUUGGAGAUGUGUAUGUUUUGCUGUCUAUCUAUCUACGUGUGGUAGCAGAGUUGAGUAUACCUGGGCAGAAUGGGACCCCGAAAGAUGGGGCCCUGUAUACUGUGUAAUGGGUUACGAUGCAUGCAUCAUGGCGCCCCAAAGUAAGGGCCGAUGAUGUCGUCGUUCUGAGUUUGUGUUUUGUGGUGUUGUACCUUGAACCUCCUUUGCAUUUGACUUGAUGCUACCUUUUGCACUGUCUGAGAGUGUUGGCUUCUGGUUCACGUUAUGCUGUGAUGUACCAUGGUUGAUUCAGUUUGGGUGUUGUGAAGGCUAAAAACUAAAAGGUGGCUUGUGGAACAUUGUGUCCAGCAGCAGGUUAUGGGUUGCAGGUGCACCUACCAAACUUGGUGUGUGAAACAAAACAAGAGCAACUGAUAAGGUGGUUGAUUGCAUCGGUUCAACUGCUCUCGGUCAGACAGGAAGGAGCAGCAGCUCUUUGUUGGUGCGCUGUCUCCAUGUGUUUUUCAGCACUCACUGAUUCCUGAACUGAAUGCAGUUCUCGUCGGAGGGUACCAUGUCAGCACUCCAAAAAGCUCAGGAAUCCCAGUCGUAAACCGUUGAACAAUCGACGUUUCAGCUUUGGCGGCGACAAGAGAUUGGAUUGAUUGCCUCGUCUGCUGUUAAUUGAAACAGGGCAGCUUAACACGUAAGGUAAAGCAGUCUGCUGCAGUGCAGAGGACGAACGCGACGUGCAACCCGUGCGCCUGCUGUACCUGCUCUGCAGAUACAUGCAUUAGACUAGAAAGAUACAUGCUCUGCAGAGUGAGUAUUAUGCCUCUUGUUCCAUUCUCAUCUCACUGGACAGAAAUCGCCAGUAACCAUUCCUUUUGAGGUUUCAGUUUGAUCCCAGCUCAUUCUGAAUGUGCAGCAGCAGACCAGCGGCAGCACAAGUAGGAGCAGGGGAGGGAAGGGGAGUGUAUGAGUACUUGUACUUGGGGUUGAAUAAGCCAAGUGCACGAAACCUCAGCUAUUGCAAUUAGAUAUAAUCAUCAGAUAGAAGUAAAAAAAAAAAGGCGGUCAGAAUCAACAUUAUAAAGUCAGGGGCUGAAACUGCAACGCACAUCGGUAUCGGUACAGAACAAGAAGGCUGCCCUCAACGAAACACAUCUUCGAGGCCAGGAGCAGGCAGCAGCUCAUCUGAUUUCCGAAUCUCACGAUGGUGGCUGGAUCUCGAUGUUGUCAAUCAACCUCACCUUCCCAAACCAUGCGGCGACACAAAUCACAGCAGGGCGAUCGAUCCUCUCAACAGGCGUCAAGCUCUCUUGCUCCACAAUCUGCGUUCACAACAGCGAUCCAUUUCAUGUUAGACUAACUUUCCCAACUUGCGGGUCACUUACCAUAUACAAAACGUCUCCUGAGAUGUCAUCACGCUAUUAUCAAAGCCGUCUAAUCGAAACCAAACAUUCAGUCUUCCCACAAGUCAGGUUUAAUAACAAAAGGUUUAAUUAUAUAAAAAAGGUUUUCUGAACUGUUUCAUGAUACAAAGCAUAAAUGCCUAAAGCUUUCAAAGGCUCUCGAGGAAAAUACCAGAAUAAGAUACCACAAAACAAUAACCACUUUCGCUAAAUAAAAACAAUAACCACAAUGACGACGACGACCAUGAUGGGAUUGCAGAGAACUCAACCGCCAGAUAAAAGGUCUAAAAACACAGAUAACUUGAACAGCUGAGCAAAAGCCAAGAACAUUACCUCAACAUAGUCAACCUGACCGCCAGCUUCUUCAAGUGUCUGCACUAUUUGAUCUUUUAUUUGUUGGCCAUGACUGUUUCCAUUCAGCGCAGCGGUUCUAGCAUUCACCAGUGAUCUACUGAUGGAUAAUGCCUACAUAGGAGAUCAUCACAAUCGAAGGAAGGUUUAUUUUGAGAAAGGUGCAAAGAUAUUUACAAAGAGUAUAUGCAAUGAUCAACAAUUGAAAAUAAUGCUUUCUUCUAGGAUUUUUACAUGUAGCUCCCCUCCAUAGCUAUAAAUAAAUUUGUUAUAUCUCGCCUAUCGAGUCAUAAGAACCACCUAAAGAUUAUUGUGCCAACAAACUGAUAACAGCUCAAACCGAAAGAGGAGCAACAUGGAAAACAGCGGUGAAAGUAACUCCUGCUGCAAGGUCGAAAUUUUAGUUAUAUUCAAAUUUUCACCUAGAGCCAGUUCAACAACUGCAGAGGAAAGUUGGUGCAUUUCGCACAAGGCUUGUGUCGAAAAGUUGUGAUGUGAGGCCAAACUAGAUAAAGCAUUGAACAAAUUGAACCACGAAUUUGUUGAACAAACUGGCCCAACAGGUUGAUCCAGGAGGGGAAGGAUACACUGGACAGCAAGACAAACCUAAUUCUAAAACACUGUAAUUUCUAUGGUUCUCUGUAUUUUGGCGAUAGCAAUACCACAAAUUGUCAAAAAAAAUCACUACAAAAACAAUCUACCAGCUUUUUUCAGAAAAAGACAAACCUUUUCCCUUUCCUCACACGAUAGGUGCACAUUGCGGGAGCUCAUGGCAAGACCAUCAGCUUCUCGCACUAUUUCUGAGCCAAUAAUCUCAAUGGCAAAAUCAAGAUCAUGAACCUGAAAACAACAAAGCUUUAUCUCAGCAACAGAAACUAACUAGAGUUACACUGAGAUAAACAGAUAAGAGAUGACACACAUUAUGUGGGGAUGCAACUGAAGAGAACCAUCAAAACAGAAAGCAAACAAGUUAACCACUGAAGCAUUAUUUGAUUCAAAAUGGACAUUUGGAUGGAGCAAAAUGUAGUCUCUAAAUAGUCACCAUGUGAUAAGCUAUUUAUAGACUAUCUAGAAGCAAGUUGGUCAAGUUGGUGAAUAGGGCAGUGAAGAGAAGAAAAAAGAACUACUAUUCUGCUAGGUAGUUACCAUCAUUCGAUGGCCAACUUUGCGCUUACUCAUCAAUGUUGUUUUAUUCUAUUCAUAUAACUACUUGAAUUGCCGAACCUGACAGACAGCAAUUAUAAAAGAAACAAAGUAGUAUGUUAAUGCCAAACAAGUUAUUGUUCUAAAAAAGUUACCAUCCGGCAGAGGAAGGAAGGUGGAAAUAAACAGGAGCAAAAAACAUUAUUUUAGAUUUGUUACCAUUACUGUAUCUGGAUGGCCUACUCCUUUUUUUUGGAACUAAAACAAACUGGAUGGCCUACUUUGUUCUCACAUAGCAAGACUGUAUUUUCAGCACUUGAACAGUUGGACCUGACAGACGCCAACCAAAACUGAACAAAGUGCAUGCAUGUGUCAGUGUCAAUGUCAAAGAAGUUACCAUCCGGCAGAUGACGCGCCACUGUUGAUAAUCCUUCUUCCCGAACACCGCGAUGUCCGGCUCGACGAUGUUGAAGAGCUUGGCGACGACGGUAGCCACGCCGCGGAAGAAGACGGGCCUGCUGCUCCCGCACAGCCCCUUCUCCAGCCGCUCCACGCGAAUCCACGUCUCGUGCCCGUACCCAUCGCCCUGCUCCAGGCAGGAGAUCGCGCCCCCGGACUCGCUGGCAUCGGGGCGGCCGCCGCGGACGUAGAGGUCCGGGGGGCAGAAAACCGCGGCAACGGCGCCAGUGGCGGCGAGCUUGCGGAGGUCCCCGGCGAAGUCGGAGGGGUAGGUGGCGAGGUCCUCGGUGGGGGCGAACUGGCUGGGAUUGACGUAGAUGGAGACGACGACGGCGACGGGGCCGGCGGCGGCCGCCACCGCUGCGGAGACGAGCGAGAGGUGGCCGUCGUGGAGGAAGCCCAUGGUGGGGACGAGAGCGACGACCUUGCCCUCCGCGCGACGGCGGCGUGACCACGCGCGCAUCGCCGCCUUGUCACGGAUCACCUCCGGCUCAUGCGCCGCCGCCGGCAUGGGAGCAAAAUGGAAUCGCACGGCAGACUGAUGAGGAGGAGGAAAAGAAAAAAGAAAGAAAUUUGUUGACAAUAAGUGAGAAUGGGAUGCGGCAGCAGAUAAGUUGUGGGGAGGAAACGGAAUCGAGGACGGCCAGAGAGUGGGAGGGGAAAGAAGGAAUUUUCUUUCUGCCUGUUGCAAUUCAAAAACAAUGCAGCAAGUAGCAGCCAGGGUAGACUCUUUCUGGACAUGAUAACGACAUCUACCCGCCAUCGAUCGUUGGAUAAUAUCAAUAAAAACAUUUUUUUUCUUUCCAGCUAGCACAAUGGAAUUGUAGAUGCAGGAUUACAAUCGUUUUUCAAGCUAUCUCGAAAGAAAGCAGGUGCUAACAUGCCACGCUGCUCUCCGCUCGUAAGAUGCUUGCUUAUACUUCCUCCGUUCCAAAUUGCAGGUCAUUUUAGCGUUGAUAUGUAUAGAUGGAAAAACCAAAAUGAUCUACAAUUUGGAACGGAGGGAGAAGCAUAUUAGCUGAGACAUUAUUAGAGGUGCGCAAGGGAAAAUUAAUUUCCUGCGGAGCUCCUUGGUAUCCAAAAGUAAUUUCCACCGGGUUCUUCCAUGUAUCCACAAUGAGUUGGCAGCGAGUUUCAACAAUAUAUACAGACCGUGGAUCACACCACUGGCAUGUUGUGGUCUCUAUGCCUGGUAAAUAGUUGGAUCAGACUGGAGAGUCGGUUCCCAGAAUCCCACGCAUGAUGAACCCUUCAUCUGAGGAACAACCGUGUCAUUCAGCAUCUCAUAUAUUUCAGCACAUUGUGGAUGCUCUUGAUCCCUAGAGUAGAACACAUGAUUCCUCAUGUUCGCCUCAAUCUGACUAAAACCAGGCGCCUUCUUCGACUUACUGCCCUUCAUGAUCUUCCACACAUUUGCUGUCUCAUCCCACAUUCCAUGUGACGCAAAUACAUUGGCCAGAAGCGUGUAGCGUCCUGAAUCAGAGGGUUCGAAUCUGACAAGAUCCUCACCCACUUCUCUUGCUACCUCUACCUCUUUAUGCGUCACACAGGCUCCUAGUAGCGUCCCAAGAAUGGCUUCAUCACGCAUGCCCUGUGGCAUACUGUCGACAAGUUCCUUGGCCUCCCUAACAUACCCUGCUCGACCUAGAAGGUCAACAAGGCAAGAGUAGUGCUCAAUGCUUGGCUCUAUUCCGUAGCCAUGGUAAAUUGAUUUGAAAAUCUUGCGGCCUUUCUCGACCAAGCCAACAUGGCUACAAGCUGACAGAAUGGAUGUAAAGGUAGUUGAACUGGGCUUAUACCCAUGCCUCAACAUCUGAGCAAAGCCCUGUAAGGCAUGGUAACCACAGCCAUGGUUCGCAAAAGCUUGCAUUAUCGACGUCCAUGUUAUGGUAUCCUUCACUUCCAAUCUCUUAAAAGUGAGCUGAGCAGAAAGCAGAUCUCCACUUCUUGAGUACAUUGUGAGCAAGGCAUUUCCUAAAUCAGUUUCUGACAGGAGUCCAAGUGUGACAACCAAGCCAUGGAUUUGCUUAACUUCCAUUGUGCUCUCAAGCAUAACUAGGAUACUAAUUAAUGUACAGAUGUUAGGAGAUACCGCUGAGCGUCGCAUAAGAAGAAAUAUGUUUACGGCUUCAUCCUUACGCUUGGUCUUGGAAUACGCCUCGAUAAUGGUAUUCCAGGUCACCAGGUCUUUUGCAAGCAUCGAAUCGAAUAAUCUCUGGGCCUCAUUCAGCUGGUCAUUGUUGGCAUAAGCAGUAAUCAUCGCAUUCCAUGCCGCAGUAUCCUUUUUUGGCAUCAUAUCAAAGAACUCUCUUGCCCUGCACGCAAAACCAUUCUUUGCCAAGCCAGUGACCAUUAUAGUCCAAGAAAUCACAUUCCUGUGCGGCAUUGUCUCAAACAAUUGAACUGCUUCAUCCACUUUUCCAGCGCUGAGAAAACCGGAAAUCAUGGCAUUCCAAGAAUAUGUGUUCCUCUUGGGCAUCCUAUCGAACAGUUCCCAUGCCUCUUGAAUCUGACCACUGUCAGCGUAGGCCUUAACCAUGACUGUCCAAGCGACCACAUUCCUCUCAGGCAUUCGAUCAAACACCUCCCUGGCUUCCUUGAGCAUCCCAUUGCUUGCGUACCCCUGCACCAUCGCCGUCCACGAAACAACAUUUGGAUCAGGCAUCACAUCAAACAACUGGCGCGCUUCGUGAACACGGCCGGUGCGGCAGUACCCAUAGACCAUGCAGGUCCACGCGACGACGUUCUUCAUCGGCAUUCCGUCGAAUAGCUCGCGCGCGCGGUCGACACGCCCAGCCUUGAUGUACCCGUCGAGCAUAACGGUAUCCAGGUAAAGCCCCCGAGCAGCCGCGGGCGCCGCGCGGAAGAGCGCCUCCGCGCCCAGCAGGUCACGUUGCUGGAGGUGGCGGCUGAUGUUGGCGGCGUAGGAGACGGCAUCCUCCCGGUUUGGCGUUUCGGCGCGAGUGGCCGCGCCGCCGCGCUGCUGCUUGGGUGCGGCGGGGUUUUCGCUGGCCGAACGGAUGCCUUCUCGGGUGGGUUGCCGCGGCGGGUCAUGGGCCUCCGCAACGGUGCCAUGGAGGCGGAUGAGCGAGCACUGGAAGGGCAGCUCGAACGGGGCGCGGCCAGCGGUGAUGCCGCGCCGCCGCGCGAGGGCGAGCGAGUCGCCGCUGCUAGUACGGAUGUCUCCAUGGGCGCUUCGUCGUGGAGGCGUGCGGAACUUAGCGACGGUGCCGUGCCGGUGGAGCGGCGAGCAUUGGGAGAGGAGAGGGAGGACGCGCCGGCGCCGGCAACGGGGAAGCAUUGGGAGUUGGCGGGGAAUUUUGCAACUAGGUCCUCGGUUAGUAACCUAGCUGGUUCAGAACGAGGGGGCCAGCAUGGGUCAGCGUAUAUUAUGCGAAAAGGUCCAUACUAAAGUUUUUUUCGUUCAAGUAUACCCCCAACUGGAUCGCCAUUAUUAAUCGCGAUCCAAUUUUGGAUGACUGCGAACCGCCGGAUCAAUUAUACGCGGCUCAGAACGGCUUCUGGUAUAAUAGCAGCGGCCAUUUGUCGAAAUAGGCCUUAGUGUUUAAGAAUACCUUCAAACACUCCUGGUGGAUUUGAACCGUCCGAUCGACACUCCAGGGCCCAGAUCGAGGGGUGUAAUUUUACGGAAACGACCCUUCAUUGACAUGGCCGGUCAAAUGGGAUGCGAACCGGCGGCGGCGGCCGCCGCGCACGGCGACGUGGUGCCGCCGCCGCUGCUUCCGGCUUGCCCCCGAAAGAUCACUGCACGGCAAGGAGGAGCGAUUCCGGCGAGGAAGGUCGCGGUCCUCGAAGCGUGGAGGACUACCAUGGUGGCGCCGGAGGUCGUCGUCGGCAGAAUUUCAAAUGCAGAACCCAGACAGGACACUGAAAUGAAAAUUUCUUCCUUAUUCAUUAAGAAAAACUCAUGAACGAUCCAUAGAGUAGCGAUCCAACGAACCCAUUCCCACCUUAAUUACGCAAGCAAAAUCCGGCAUGCAUACUCUCAAUACAUACACCGAACUGAAGAAAAGAAACUUCUUUCGGCGGAGAAAGCAAAGCAGGGCACAGCAGAGCAAGACUGCAGGAGCAAAGCAAGGCAUGAAGCAAGGUGAUGAGCAGCUUGGCGGCGGCGCCUAUACAAAGGCGUGCUUCUCGAGCAGCUUGAGGACGUCCUCCUGGUUGUUGAGCUUGGCCACGUCGAUGGGCGUCUUCCCGUCCAGGUUCUGCAGCGUCCUGCAAAAGGCACAAGAUCAUGCAUGAGCAAUCGAGCUUCAGAAUGAGGAAUUUCCGUUUCAGCUCGGUCAUCAGUUUGGUAUCGAUCAUCAUCAAUCAGGUGGACGGUCCCUUACACGGCGGCGCCGCUCUCGAGCAGGAGGGCGACGCAGUCCUUGCGGCCGUAGCCGGCGGCGUAGUGCAGCGCGGUGUUAUUGUUCUUGUCCACCGCGUCCACCGCCGCGCCGGCGUCCAGGAGCACCUGCGCGCACUUGAGCUCGCCGUACCCGCACGCGAAGUGCAGGCCUCUACGGCCUUCCGAGUCCUCCUCGUCUUUGUCCACGCCAUCCUCCAGCGCCUUCUUCAGGCCCUGUCACCGUGACGACCAUGCAUACAGGUAUGUUCAGCAAUGAUCAUAGAGCCAGCCAACUGAUGAUGAUCCAGAGCGCGCUGCACUGCAGUGACAGUAAGGUGGCAGACUGACCUCGACGUCGCCGACGCUCGCAGUGUGGUGGAUGAUGGACGACUCCUCGUACUCGCCUUCCUCCUCGCCGGCCUCUUCCUCGGCCUCGUCGUGCUCCGCGCCGGCGGCCUCGCUCGAUGGGCCGACACCCAUCGCCCGCCCGAACUUCUGCAGAGCCUCGGGGUCGUUCCAGUACCUGCACAAACCAUGCAAGACACUCCAGCAGGCUCAGAGAUCAUUCAAUUCGUCGGUUUGCGCAAUCCUUCCUUGAUGAAUGAACUUGACGACUCACUUCAUCAUGGCAGCGGGGCCGCCGGUCUCGAUCUCGUCGAGGAUGGGCUUGAGCGUGGGGUCCUCCUUCAUGCGCGCGAUGCGAGCCUCGAGCUGCUCCUUGUGCGCCGGGUUGGUGAGCCCGCCCAGCAUCGUCGCCAUGGCCGGGUCCUGCAUCAGCGCGCUGCCCAGCCGCUCCGCCAUCGCCACGAACUGCGGGUUCUGCAUCAGCUGCUGCAUCGUCGCCACGUACUUCUGCGGGUCCAGCGCCGCCGCCGCCUGGGGCACCGCCUGCUUCGCCGCCGGCGCCUGCCGCGGGGACACCACCGUCUUCUGCAGCUGCUCCGCCAUCUGCGUGAACGCCGGGUCCUUGGCGAUCUGCUCCGCCAUCUCCUUGAUGCUCGGGUCCUGCUCGGUCCAUCCAUUCGUUCAUUUAAUUCCAACAAGAAAUAUCAAAUACUACAUCCAAACCGUAUCGAUUUCCAAAUAAGUGAAAUGAAAUGGCAUGAAAAUUUUGGGUUACCAAAAUCGAACCACGAAAAGCUAGCACUUUUUCACGCAAGGGAUCCGAGACUAAAAACGGCACGGUCUUCACAUGGUACAUGUACUACUGCCGACGGAGAUUAAGGCUGUUCAGCUCAAUUGAGUUUGUGAAUGAAUGAAUGCACCGGAUGAACAGCGUCAUGAACCCGGUCCAUCAUCUUUGCUAAUCUCUACUGAGCUUCACAUAUAAGAACUACUUCUAUGUUGCAAAAAAGGAAGGUGAUGCCUCAGCUGCGUACAUUAAGGAGGUUCAUCAUGGUGGAGAAGUCGAAGGGGUUGGCCGGCGCCGACGGCCCGGCCCUGCGCGUCGCCCCUGCUGCUGGCUGCUGCUCCUCCGCCGGCGAAGGCUCCUCUGUCUUGACCGUAGCAGUCUUCUCCUCUGCACAAACAACUCCAGUUAAAUUAUCUCUUCUCCAGCUCUUCAACUCCUUGGCGCAAAUCGCUCACGCAACAAAAGAAAAGAAAAGAAAAGGGAGAGAGAUUCCUGACUGACCUUGAGCAGCCAUGUCGACGGCGGCCGGGAAGGAAGCAGGCGCUGGCGCUGUUGCCCCUUGUUAGCGAUGAACCAGCCGAGGAUGACGAUAAGGUGCUGCUGUGGAGAGGAGGAAACGCGAGGGCGACCAACCAGAGGUGUCCACCGUGUGGUUUCGUUUUUAUAGGGGAAGGGUGCAUAAGCGCUUGAGACCUUGAGUGACUGCGGUUUCUACACAUGGAUGGAUGGAGAUGGAGCAAGUAGCAUCUCCUUCGACACAGCAAGGGCAAGGUAGAUCUUCCUAGCAAUUGCUCAGUUUUUUUCAAGGUAAAAAAAAACGCCGAUCUUUCUGAAUUCUUAAUCUACGUCUAGUUUUUUUUUUUAAGUUGUCAAGAAAAGGCACGUUGCUUUUUUAAGGUCACAUGGCAACCACGUAUAGAAUUUCAAAGCUGAAGUAUGAAAUACUUUCAAUUCCCGUGAUUAUCAUUUGCUUUCAAUUUUCUACGGAUAUCACGGUGAAAUGAGACCUUUUCUUUUCUCUAUAAUAAAGUCGUGCGUUGUGUAUUAGGGGGAAAAUAAAUGAAAACUUAUCUGUGAAAGGAAAAGAUAACCAAAUCAGCAUGAAUGAUAUUUUACCACUGAAUUUUUUUCGAAAGAUUACCACUGAUUUUCCCUAAAUAAAAAAGAAGUGAAUUUACCGUGUGAGUUGGGUCUUGGGUGAGCCUUUAGCAUCUACAGGGGACAGUGCGUGGGCCAGGAGAUUGAGGUGCCAAGCUUCUUGCGUGGCAUUGGGAAUCCAGGACAGGGAUUGGGAUAGCAAAUGUGUGGAUGGAAUUGCUUCUCCAGGAAACACCCUACUAUUGCGACAAAAUCCAUGAUGUUGUAUCUCUUCUACUAAUAUUUGCCACCUGUCACCAUUAUUGGACAGUACUCAUUCUAAUUCUACCACUCAUAAUGUUAUGAUUUUCACUGACUAUGUUUUCUUUCCCCUUUCUGAGAGUAUACAAGUGCGCAUUAUUACUAGCCUUCACUACAUUGAUAGAAUUAGUGCGGCAAAAGAUAGGUGACAUGCCAAAUCUGGGAACACCCCCCUCCCUCUGGCAUGAUCCAAAUAUGAAAGAACCCCCAGCGAUAAAAAGAGCGGGGUCAGAACGCCAGGUGCCAGAAUACUGUUACUAUAGUAAUACAGAAUACAAAAUAUAGCCGGAGGCACCUUCGUAUGCAUUAGUGUUUUUUUUACCACCCAACAAGGUAAAACCACGGCAAAAAUGCAGUGACAGAUGAGGGCAAAACAUGCAGCUGAAGCGUCUUCAGAUGCUUGCCACUCUGGCAGUGGCACAUUGGAGAACCCAACAGCCUAGCAGUCCCAGUCGCAGCAGCUCAAAAGGCGGAAAUGCUUCAACCAGCAGGAUCAAAACUUCCAACUGUGGGGCUCUUCAGCUGCAUGUGUCUGCCACACCGGAACCCAAGGGCCUAGCAGGGCCAGCAAAACUAGCUCAAAGUGGGCUGAUUUUGCUGUUUCUUCAACAGAUCCUCUACUUCUCUUUGACCAAGAUCAGUACAAACUCCUCCUUUAGGGAAACAAAUUUCCCAGGUCUUUCUGGAACAUUACUAUAUCACUGCAAAAGCCAUUUCUAGGCAGCAAAAUCAGCCCAGAACGUGAUGGCACUUUCAUGAAUAUUUGUGGAUUCCAAUAUUAAGGUCCGAUGAUAUGGAGGUCAGGUAUGGUGAUGUUUGGUGCCAAACAGCCUUGAACACUCGCUUCUGGUGUGCCUGAACAGACUGGCACGGCUUCUGGCCAUGAUACCUGAUGUCGAAAAUGUGGAUCACAGGGUCUGCAGAGCCAGAUGACACGUACCACCCAUCAGGAGACCAUGACUGGUUAAUCAGAGCUGACUGAGACUCGCUGCUCUCUUGCUUCCAACCGAAUGCAUGAACCUCAGUCUGCCUAAGCCUGAUGUCAAACAAGCGGAGCUGACUGCCUGGCGCCCUGUUAGCAAGAGAAAACAUACAGAUUGUUUUAAGCAUGCACCCCCAUGCAUUAAACGAGCACAACUGACAACCAUUGCACAAUGCACAUAGGACCCCACAUAAUAACUAUGUAUGUAAACUAAAAUGGAUUUUUCUUCAUAAAACUAGAGCUUCAGCAGUACAUUGACCUCCUAUGUUAUAAUGCAAGAAUAGGUUGAGAUGACUAAGAGGUUAAAGAUUACAACUAUGAAAUGGAUGCGUUAAUCCAGAAACAGCAUUCUUGGUCUGUUUGGAACUAUCGCAAUCACUGUGUGUUCAAUGGGGAUCCACCUAACCUGAAUGGAGUUCUAACUGUGCUAAGAGAAGAACUGCACUUGUGGAGUUUGGCUGGGGCUCAAGGAAUUUCUCAUCUCCUCGCCCUAGUACCCUUGCAAGUUUAGCUGGUGUUUCUGGUCUAGGUCUGGUCAUGGCUAUUUAGUUAAAAGGUGAUUGUUUCUGUGUGAGUUUUUUUUUUGGGAGUUCUGUACAGGGCCCCUAAACCUAUAUGUUACUUGGGGUUUCUAAACCCCUUUUUCUUCUUAACAUAUUGAUCCGCAGCUCCUCUCUUGCGUGUUCGAGAAAAAAAAUACUUACCCUGUCUGCACCAUGUAUAAGUUGAAAUCGCAUGGAUUUGUUAAUACACUCAUGCAUUUGCUAUCAAUUAGGUUCUUGAACUCUGUCCUUCCAGCAGAGAGAUCAAAUCCUAUUAUCCUCUUGUCGCAGCCAACUGAUAUUAUAGUUUUUUUCUGUUGCAAUCCAGCAACACCCAUGACAGCGGAAGAAUGGAAAUCCUUGUGCACUCUCUUGUGUUUCCAUGAAUCAUCUUUGUCUUCCCAAAGUAUAACAGCGUGAUCACUUCCCCCGGUCACAAAGCAUGCAUCAGACCAGGGCAUGAAACUGAUGUUGUUUAUGAUUCCCUUCGUGUGAGGCUUCUCUGGUAGGAAAGUAACCUUCCUCUGUUUCAGUACAGGGAAAAAAUUGUGGAACGCCCUUUAGUAAUAUUUCAAGAAAGUAAAUCAUCUGUUACUCACAAAAAUAAGGCAUAGAAAAGUAAACCUAGGGUUAACAGAACCAAUUCUUUCAAGGUUACAUCACCGUAACAACAAAUCACAUUAAGGCAUUGAUGCCUACAAGUGAAAACAGGAGAAUAGCAUGAAAAUAGUCAUUUAAGAACAGCUAAGUUACGAUUCGUUAAUUAAAGGUACACCACAUCAGCAUCCAAUCAUUUUUCCCAUCACACUUGAUAGAACAAAAAGAAAGAAAAAAUUCAGUCUCCUAACUAUAAUUUGCAGGGAUUAAGUAAAUGCACGAACAGGAAUAAUUAAAAGAACCAUCUCUCAAAUUCCUCCCUUUAACAAUAUUAUUUAAAAAUACUAAUGAUUUGAAAUCAGAUAUGCAGAAUUUGUUAUUAGUCUCAUUUUAACAACUGCUCCUAGAAUAGAGAAAGCUGUGUAGCAGGAUGUAAGGGCAUGCACCAGUUUUAACAGAGGCCUUACCUGUCCUGAUAUAAGGUUUGUCAUUGAAACCUGAGAAUCACCAUUAUCAGCAGUGUAUACAGCAAAAAUUGUGUCACCAUCUGGAUGCCAAGCUAUAUCUUCAGGCCAUCUAUGCUUUGGGGAAAAGCAAUCUGUUUUGCCACGAAAUGAGAUAGAAGGUCUGCGAGUACAAUAACGUAAAUUGUCAUGGUGCGAAAUUGAAAUGAUACGGUGAUACCCACCCAACAAAAUUUACCUUUUCAAUAAAGCAAACAGUCUUUGCAUCAGGGUGGUUCCCCAACCAUUUCAAGUUAAAGUGUACAAUGUACUCAAACAAUAGGUGGAUCUAUCACAGAGAACUAUAUUCUCCUUAGUCCUUAUAGUUACCUGCACUACUGGUAUAUAAAUUUAGCAUUGACAUUUUUACAUCACAUGUGAUGGGAUUGUAGCAUUUUUUCCUUCAAAAAGUACUGAUAUGGAACAUGGAUAUACCAUAUACAUAAAGAAAAAAUCAUACACUUCCAGCAUGUUGUAUCUUUACUCAAAUUUUAUCCAUUUUAGCCUGCCUCCUCAUGAGUACAUGGCUCCUUUAAACAGCCACGCAACUGGAUAUGCCAAUACAAAUCACUAAGAAACCAACUAACCUAGCAGAUAAGAUCACACUAUUGCUGCCUUGCUUGGAUGGAGCAGCCAUGCCGCUUGGCUGACAUGUUAAUCCUAGCCUGUCCGGUGACAGUUAAAUAUUUUACGAGAUUCAGAAGGCUAAGGUCAUUUCAUGUUAAAAUAGUAUAUCAGCCGUCACGCCCAUACCAAGUUCACUUUAAUUAAAACAAUAAGCUAAAAUUUUGCUGCCGCAUGUUGAAGGAGAGUUGUUGGGUGUUUGACCAUAGUGGUGUUACCCAUGGCACAUGUACUGUGUUGGCACAUCCUUUUUGGCCACUAACUGUGUUGAACUUUCAGUUUUGUCCCAGAGCAUUACAACAUUUUGGUUAUCUGAACCUGGGCUGCUGAAUUUAAUAUGUAAGUGUUGAGGAGAUGCAAGAAGUGAAACAAGAGACAAACAGUAUCAGGGAGCAAAUUAAAUUGCCUUUUCUGCUAAUGAAUGUUGCAAGGUAGACAUGCGCUAAGGUGGGCACUUAAGUCUUAACUGCAAAAAUCCACACUUGAGCUUCAUAAACGAAAUACUUAAAUCCACGUAAUUAAUUAUUGAUAUCAACCUCGUGUAUGCAUUUAUUAUCUACUUAGUGUCUUCGAGAACCCUAAGGCUCCUGUUGGCACAAUUCUACUAACCUAAUGCAAAACCCUCAUUAAGUACUGCUGAGUCAGUCAUUAAGACUUAUAUAAAGUACGGAUUUAAUUUUUGGCAAAGCCAUAAGUUUCAAUUCAUCAUCAAGUAACUAUAACCACUUAUGCUGAGCUCAUUGGAAGUGUCAUUGGGCACACACUUUACCCAGUUCAUAUUUCACUACCAUUUUAAAAAACUAGUGAAAUAUCUCUGAAAUAUGUUUGAAAGCUAAGUUAAAAAAAAGUUAGCAGGGAUGAAAAGAAAACAGCAUGCUGACAAUUCAGAGUGACAUUAUGCCUACCCUCUUGGCUCCACCUGCCACAAAGUAACCAAUCCAUCCAACGCACUGCAUCACAAGAAACCAUAAGAUUAAAAGUUUGGAAAACUUAAGCAAACUUCUCAUAUCAUUGGUAAUUAAAAUUAAUUAUUUCAUUUUGCUAAGAUGUCUAUCGGAACGGUGGUUGAGAACUUAGUCUGCCCUCCCAGUUUACAAUUCUAAACCAGCAAACCUAUAGUGCUGCCCACAAAAAAAAAAUGUUUCACAAAGAAGUACAGGCGUCCAACUUGGAACUUUGGAAGAAGAUUGCUUUGUGAGCCUGUGCUUGUAGACUGACAUUACAUAACUUUUUUUUUCGUGAAUUGUUGCAGGCAACCAGGUCGAAGCAAUUAAAAAUUAUGGAGGUGGAGAAAUGAUGCCAAAGAUGCCAAAGGUGACACUAAUAGUUUUUUUGAGCUUCUCAUUGCAUGAUCAUCCGUGAACUAUAGCCUACACCAAAUUCGCU